AUACGGAGGACGCGAGCGUUAUCCGGAUUCAUUGGGUUUAAAGGGUGCGCAGGCGGCCGUGCAAGUCAGCGGUGAAAGCCCGGGGCUCAACCCCGGAAGUGCCGUUGAUACUGCGUGGCUGGAAUGCGGUCGAGGCGGGCGGGACGGGGCGGGUAGCGGUGGAAUGCGUAGAUAUGGCACAGAACGCCGAUAGCGGAGGCAGCUCGCCAGGCCUGCAUUGACGCUCGGGCACGAAAGCGUGGGGAUCGAACAGGAUUAGAUACCCUGGUAGUCCACGCCGUAAACGAUGGGCGCUCGUCGUCGGCGACAGACAGUCGGCGGCCAAGCGAAAGCGAUAAGCGCCCCACCUGGGGAGUACGGUCGCAAGGCUGAAACUUAAAGGAAUUGACGGGG
rnacentral:rRNA from 1 species